rnacentral:rRNA from 1 species
UACGAAGGGGGCGAGCGUUGUUCGGAAUUACUGGGCGUAAAGGGCGCGUAGGCGGCGAACCAAGUCAGAUGUGAAAGUCCUGGGCUUAACCUGGGGACUGCAUUUGAUACUGGUUUGCUUGAAUUCGGGAGAGGAUAGCGGAAUUCCCAGUGUAGAGGUGAAAUUCGUAGAUAUUGGGAAGAACACCGGUGGCGAAGGCGGCUAUCUGGGCCGACAUUGACGCUGAGGCGCGAAAGCGUGGGGAGCAAACAGG